GAUGAACGCUGGCGGCGUGCCUAAUACAUGCAAGUCGAGCGAACAGACGAGGAGCUUGCUCCUUUGACGUUAGCGGCGGACGGGUGAGUAACACGUGGGUAACCUACCUAUAAGACUGGGAUAACUUCGGGAAACCGGAGCUAAUACCGGAUAAUAUUUCGAACCGCAUGGUUCGAUAGUGAAAGAUGGCUUUGCUAUCACUUAUAGAUGGACCUGCGCCGUAUUAGCUAGUUGGUAAGGUAACGGCUUACCAAGGCAACGAUACGUAGCCGACCUGAGAGGGUGAUCGGCCACACUGGAACUGAGACACGGUCCAGGCGACUACGGGAGGCAGCAGUAGGGAAUCUUCCGCAAUAGGGGAAAGCCUGACGGAGCAACGCCGCGUGAGUGAUGAAGGUCUUCGGAUCGUAAAACCCUGUUAUUAGGGAAGAAUAAACGUGUAAGUAACUGUGCACGUCUUGACGGUACCUAAUCAGAAAGCCACGGCUAACUACGUG
rnacentral:rRNA from 1 species